rnacentral:rRNA from 1 species
CACGUAGGCUGUUUAGUAAGUCAGGGGUGAAAUCCCGCGGCUCAACCGCGGAAUUGCCCUUGAUACUGCUGGACUUGAGUCCGGGAGAGGGUGGCGGAAUUCCAGGUGUAGGAGUGAAAUCCGUAGAUAUCUGGAGGAACAUCAGUGGCGAAGGCGGCCACCUGGACCGGUACUGACGCUGAGGUGCGAAAGCGUGGGAGCAAACG